rnacentral:rRNA from 1 species
CCUACGGGUGGCAGCAGUCGAGAAUCAUUCACAAUGGGGGAAACCCUGAUGGUGCGACGCCGCGUGGGGGAAUGAAGGUCUUCGGAUUGUAAACCCCUGUCAUGUGGGAGCAAAUUAAAAAGAUAGUACAACAAGAGGCAGAGACGGAUAACUCUGUGCCAGCAGCCGCGGUAAUACAGAGGUCUCAAGCGUUGUUCGGAAUCACUGGGCGUAAGGGGGGCGUAGGCGGUUUCGUAAGUCGUGAGUGAAAGGCGCGGGCUCAACCCGCGGACGGCCCAUGAUACUGCGAGACUAGAGUGAUGGAGGGGGAAGCGGAAUUCUCGGUGUAGCAGUGAAAUGCGUAGAUAUCGAGAGGAACACUCGUGGCGAAGGCGGGUUCCUGGACAUUAACUGACGCUGAGGCACGAAGGCCAGGGGAGCGAAAGGGAUUAGAUACCCUUGUAGUC